AAAAAAAAAAAAAGCAAAAUAAAUACAGGCUAUGGCUAUUCCUUAACUUAAUUCAGGGUUCAGGAGUAUAUACGAAGAUCUUACAUGGUUCUCACCUAUUGGUUCCUACAUUUGAGAGGCAGCCUCAGGAGUGUUAUAGGAGGGAAAAGGAGAGAUAAAAAACAGGAGAGGUUCCUUGGCUUAUAGAUGCAUGGGUAGGCAUAAGUUUAAUCCAACAAUAAUGAGGUUCCCCUAAGGCUGGUAUCUAGACCUUUCUGGAGAAAUGCUGUAAAUUGAUAAAUAUGAGAUGUCAUUAGUCAGGUGUCCUGUUUUCACUCUUCCCUGGGAGGGAGCAGGUUCUGUUUCAGGUACAUCCCAGGUCUCAACUUCCCCCACCUGCCCCCUCCAGAAACCCUGAGGCCAGAUGGCCUUAGGUUGAUUAUGAAGUCAAUGAUGCCUCACCACCCUUACGGUCAGAAGGACACCUCCACGGAGCACAGGGGCCUUCUGCUCAUCAAAAUCUCUACUCAGUAACAGUGCUAAAUAUCAAUUAUUUAGCUCUUAGUGUGAAUUGACUGUAUGUCAUUUUACUUACAUACAUCUGCAUUUUAUAUCUUACCUUUACUCUGGAAUGAAAAGUUUGUGCCCCCAAGAAAGCCAAGAGACAGCAAUAAGAAGGGGAGAGAGCCAGUGCACAGCCAUCGUGUCCUAGGUCAAAAGUCCCAUCCCCACUUCCAGUUCUCAUAAGCCUCCCCUUUGUAACAGCCGGCACCCAAUUUGCUUUAUAUGGUCAUGAGCCCUCUUACCUGCAGCAUCAAAUGGGAGGCAUGAAGCCACGAUAAAGAACAAGCAAAGUGAGCUCCGUGAACGGGCUUUCCCAGGCUGCCUUCUGCACACAUGAGCCUACCCAGAGGGGACACAGAACAGGGAUGAGGCCUCUUGCAUCUGUGGGGGCUAUGAAGACAAAUGUUAUGUGUACCUAAAACUAAACCAGCACUCACUGCUUCCAGGAAGAGUUGGAAUAAAAAGGAAGGAGAAACUCACCGGAAAUGAAACUCAAAGGCCAGGAGUGAGGGCGGUUACCCGCCACACUCCUGUGAGAGCCUACCCAUCAUGGCGAAGCUGGAGAGUGGGCAGAUCCUUUCCCAGAGCCCCUCCAAGUCACCUUGGAGAUACCAUCAGACUUCCCUCUUUUCUUCAGAUUUCUUCAACCACUCCACAGACAUAUUUAAAGCACCUGCCACAGCUGUCUGCAGAGUCUGAAGCCAGAAUACAGGCGACAUGUAAGAAUAAUGCCAAGGACAGGAGAGGAUGGGGCGGCCGAGGAGAAGCACCACGUUACCCUCAAGCCCUACCCUGUGGGCAGCUGUCCCCACCCCGGCUGUGCUUGUGGAGAUAUCUCCGUGUGGCCAAACCACAAGGCCCCCAUUUGGAGGAUCCCAUUUUCUAACCACCUUGGCCCAACAUCAAUAACAACAUUGCCCCAUAAGAAGCCGCGAGGCAUUUCCUCAGGGAACCACCAGCGCCAGGGCUCAAAGACCAAGUCCAGACACUAGGAACUCCCCUCAGGAGUGUAAAACCGAGUUCAGAAAUAAGAAAAACAAAGUUUCCAGCCCAAGUCUCCUCCAUGGGAGACACCCUCAGCGCCCCUCCUCACAGCUGCUAGGCCUCCUCCUCGGGCCGGCCCCUCAUUAGGAACUAACAGUCCCAGCCAUGCCAGCCUCCAGGCCUCCUUGUUAACUCCUUGGUUUCCCUUAGUGCUGCCAGGAGAAAAUUAGGCCUCAGAAAUCCUGAGCAGUACUGAGAGGCAGAGAGCACCUACCACAGAUGGUUAAUGGUGUGUACAUUCUAUGGUUUCUCUUAAUAAACCAAAUUAAUAAUAAUUGCUGCCAUUUAUAGAGUGCCUCUUAUGCUUUACCCACUUGCAUUAUGAACUCUUCUGCAGCCUCUCAUGUUUGCAACAACACUAGAAGGUAGGAAUUUCUUCGCCUAUCCUAUAAAUGAGAGCAUGGAGGCUGUGUAGCUGGCAAGCAGAUGUGUGGUUUAAACUCAGCUCUGUUCUGUUUUUCGCCCACCUUAUUACUUACUUUGAGCAAAACUGGAUUCUAAAAUGUGCAGAUUAAAGAGCUGACCACUACCCUUGCAUCGUCCAUCUGCAGAAGUUUUACAUCUUUUUCUUUUCCUUUUUUUUUUUUGAGAUGGAGUCUCACUCUGUCUUCCAGGCUGGAGUGCAGUGGUGUGAUCUCAGCUCACUGCAACCUCCACCUCCUAGGUUCAAGUGAUUCUCCUGCCUCAGCCUCCAGAGUAGCUGGGAUGACAGGUGCCUGCCACCAUGCCCGACUGAUUUUUGUAUUUUUAGUA
rnacentral:lncRNA from 10 species